GAUGAACGCUGGCGGCGUGCCUAAUACAUGCAAGUCGAGCGAACGGACGAGAAGCUUGCGUCUCUGAUGUUAGCGGCGGACGGGUGAGUAACACGUGGAUAACCUACCUAUAAGACUGGGAUAACUUCGGGAAACCGGAGCUAAUACCGGAUAAUAUUUUGAACCGCAGGGUUCAAAAGUGAAAGACGGUCUUGCUGUCACUUAUAGAUGGAUCCGCGCUGCAUUAGCGAGUUGGUAAGGUAACGGCUUACCAAGGCAACGAUGCAUAGCCGACCUGAGAGGGUGAUCGGCCGCACUGGAACUGUGACACGGUCCAUACUCCUACGGGAGGCAGCAGUAGGGAAUCUUCCGCAAGGGGCGAAAGCCUGACGGAGCAACGCCGCGUGAUUGAUGAAGGUCUUCGGAUCGUAAAACUCUGUUAUUAGGGUAGAACAUAUGUGUAAGUAACUGUGCACAUCUUGACGGUACCUAAUCAGAAAGCCACGGCUAACUACGUG
rnacentral:rRNA from 1 species